UGGGGAAUAUUGGACAAUGGGGGGAACCCUGAUCCAGCCAUGCCGCGUGUGUGAAGAAGGCCUUUUGGUUGUAAAGCACUUUAAGCGAGGAGGAGGAGCUCUAGAUUAAUACUCUAGAUGCUUGGACGUUACUCGCAGAAUAAGCACCGGCUAACUCUGUGCCAGCAGCCGCGGUAAUACAGAGGGUGCAAGCGUUAAUCGGAUUUACUGGGCGUAAAGCGUGCGUAGGUGGUCUUUUAAGUCGGAUGUGAAAUCCCUGAGCUUAACUUAGGAAUUGCAUUCGAUACUGGGAGACUAGAGUAUGGGAGAGGAUGGUAGAAUUCCAGGUGUAGCGGUGAAAUGCGUAGAGAUCUGGAGGAAUACCGAUGGCGAAGGCAGCCAUCUGGCCUAAUACUGACACUGAGGUACGAAAGCAUGGGGAGCAAACAGGAUUAGAUACCCUGGUAGUCCAUGCCGUAAACGAUGUCUACUAGCCGUUGGGGUCUUUGAGACUUUAGUGGCGCAGCUAACGCGAUAAGUAGACCGCCUGGGGAGUACGGUCGCAAGACUAAAACUCAAAUGAAUUGACGGGGGCCCGCACAAGCGGUGGAGCAUGUGGUUUAAUUCGAUGC
rnacentral:rRNA from 1 species